rnacentral:rRNA from 1 species
GAUGAACGCUGGCGGCGUGCCUAAUACAUGCAAGUCGAGCGAACGGACGAGAAGCUUGCUUCUCUGAUGUUAGCGGCGGACGGGUUAGUAACACGUGGAUAACCUACCUAUAAGACUGGGAUAACUUCGGGAAACCGGAGCUAAUACCGGAUAAUAUUUUGAACCGCAUGGUUCAAAAUUGACAGACGGUCUUGCUGUCACUUAUAGAUGGAUCCGCGCUGCAUUAGCUAGUUGGUAAGGUAACGGCUUACCAAGGCAACGAUGCAUAGCCGACCUGAGAGGGUGAUCGGCCACACUGGAACUGAGACACGGUCCAGACUCCUACGGGAGGCAGCAGUAGGGAAUCUUACGCAAUGGGAGAAAGCCUGACGGAGCAACGCCGAGUGAGUGAUGAAGGUCUUCGGAUCGUAAAACUCUGUUAUUAGGGAAGAACAGAUGUGUAAGUAACUGUGCACAUCUUGACGGUACAUAAUCAGAAAGCCACGGCUAACUACGU